rnacentral:rRNA from 1 species
AGAGUUUGAUCCUGGCUCAGGAUGAACGCUGGCGGCAUGCCUAAUACAUGCAAGUCGAACGAGAGACCUUCGGGUCUCUAGUGGCGAACGGGUGAGUAACACGUAGGGAACCUGCCCGCGCACCGGGAAUACGCUCUGGAAACGGAGAACAAAUCCCGAUGUACAGGAAGGAGGCAUCUUCUUUCUGUGAAACAUCCUUUCGGGGAUGGGGCGCGGAUGGACCUGCGGUGCAUUAGUUUGUUGGCGGGGUAAAGGCCCACCAAGACGAUGAUGCAUAGCCGGCCUGAGAGGGCGGACGGCCACAUUGGGACUGAGACACGGCCCAGACUCCUGCGGGAGGCAGCAGUAGGGAAUUUUCGUCAAUGGGCGCAAGCCUGAACGAGCGAUGCCGCGUGAGUGAAGAAGGCCUUCGGGUCGUAAAGCUCUGUUGCGGGGGAAAAAAGGCAGCAUCAGGAAAUGGGUGCUGACUGAUGGUGCCCCGCCAGAAAGUCACGGCUAACUACGUGCCAGCAGCCGCGGUAAUACGUAGGUGGCGAGCGUUAUCCGGAAUGAUUGGGCGUAAAGGGUGCGCAAGCGGUCCUGCAAGUCUGGAGUGAAACGCAUGAGCUCAACUCAUGCAUGGCUUUGGAAACUGGAGGACUGGAGAGCAGGAGAGGGCGGUGGAACUCCAUGUGUAGCGGUAAAAUGCGUAGAUAUAUGGAAGAACACCAGUGGCGAAGGCGGCCGCCUGGCCUGUUGCUGACGCUGAGGCACGAAAGCGUGGGGAGCAAAUAGGAUUAGAUACCCUAGUAGUCCACGCCGUAAACGAUGAGGACCAAGUGUUGGGGGUGAAACCUCAGUGCUGAAGUUAACGCAGUGAGUCCUCCGCCUGGGGAGUAUGCACGCAAGUGUGAAACUCAAAGGAAUUGACGGGGGCCCGCACAAGCGGUGGAGUAUGUGGUUUAAUUCGAGGCAACGCGAAGAACCUUACCCAGCCUUGACAUCCCGGCGAGAACGGGGCAAUGCCCGUUGCCCUUCGGGGCGCCGGAGACAGGUGGUGCAUGGUUGUCGUCAGCUCGUGUCGUGAGAUGUUGGGUCAAGUCCCGCAACGAGCGCAACCCUUGUGGCAUGUUGCUAACAGGAAAAGCUGAGGACUCAUGCCAGACUGCCGGUGACAAACCGGAGGAAGGCGGGGAUGACGUCAAAUCAUCGUGCCCCUUAUGGCCUGGGCUACACACGUACUACAAUGGCGGCUACAAAGAGCAGCGAGACAGGGAUGUCGAGCGAAUCUCAUAAAAGCCGUCCCAGUUCGGAUUGGAGGCUGCAACCCGCCUCCAUGAAGUUGGAAUCGCUAGUAAUCGCGGAUCAGCAUGCCACGGUGAAUACGUUCCCGGGCCUUGUACUCACCGCCCGUCA